UGGGGAAUAUUGCACAAUGGAGGGAACUCUGAUGCAGCGACGCCGCGUGAGUGAUGAAGGAAUUCGUUUCGUAAAACUCUGUUCUAUGGGAAGAAAAGGACUGUACCAUAGGAGAAAGCUCCGGCUAAAUACGUGCCAGCAGCCGCGGUAAUACGUAUGGAGCGAGCGGUGUCCGGAAUUAUUGGGCGUAAAGGGUGCGCAGGCGGCUUUACAAGUUGGAUGUGAAAUAUUGUGGCUCAACCACAAACGUGCAUCCAAAACUGCAAAGCUUGAGUUAAGGAGAGGUAAGUGGAAUUCCUAGUAGAGCGGUGGAAUGCGUAGAUAUCAGGAGGAAUACCGGUGGCGAAGGCGACUUACUGGACUUAAACUGACGCUCAGGCACGAAAGCGUGGGGAGCAAACAGG
rnacentral:rRNA from 1 species